rnacentral:rRNA from 1 species
GACGUAGGGCGCGAGCGUUGUCCGGAUUUAUUGGGCGUAAAGAGCUCAUAGGCGGCUUGUCGCGUCGACCGUGAAAACUUGGGGCUCAACCCCAAGCCUGCGGGCGAUACGGGCAGACUUGAGUACUGCAGGGGAGACUGGAAUUCCUGGUGUAGCGGUGAAAUGCGCAGAUAUCAGGAGGAACACCGGUGGCGAAGGCGGGUCUCUGGGCCGAUUACUGACACUGAGAAGCGAAAGCAUGGGGAGCGAACAGG